rnacentral:rRNA from 1 species
GAGCCAGACUCCUACGGGAGGCAGCAGUGGGGGAUAUUGCACAAUGGGGGGAACCCUGAUGCAGCGACGCCGCGUGAAGGAAGAAGUAUCUCGGUAUGUAAACUUCUAUCAGCAGGGAAGAAAAUGACGGUACCUGACUAAGAAGCCCCGGCUAACUACGUGCCAGCAGCCGCGGUAAUACGUAGGGGGCAAGCGUUAUCCGGAUUUACUGGGUGUAAAGGGGGCGCAGACGGCAGCGCAAGCCAGGAGUGAAAGCCCGGGGCCCAACCCCGGGACUGCUCUUGGAACUGCGCGGCUGGAGUGCAGGAGGGGCAGGCGGAAUUCCUGGUGUAGCGGUGAAAUGCGUAGAUAUCAGGAGGAACACCGGUGGCGAAGGCGGCCUGCUGGACUGCGACUGACGUUGAGGCCCGAAAGCGUGGGGAGCAAACAGGAUUAGAUACCCCUGUA